rnacentral:lncRNA from 1 species
AAUAGGCAUUUAUUAGCUUCCUACAUGGUGUAUGCCUCUUAAUCUUAAACUACACUACAGAACCAUCCUGCUCCACCACCUUCAAAUUAAUUUGAUUGCUGUUCUCAGUCUUGACAUCUUCCUUGGGCUUUUUGUCCACCAUGUUGAGGACUGGAGUCUCCUCAGCUUCUGCUUCACAAAAGGACCCAGUGAGCACACAAGCAGCACCAAAAGUGGAAGAAGAAAGGGGUCCUGGUUCACACUAUGAUCUACCAUGAAAGAAGACGGUUCAGGAGUUCUGUUCUGGGCUCCCUCAGCCAAGGUAUAGGUCAGUGUUUCCUGCUCCUGGCCAGCCUCACUCUUUCUAGUGAGGUGGAAAGCUGCAGUCAUCCUCAGAAUGAAGUCAAGCCUGGUCUCAUCCUCCAGUGAGAUAGAAGGACAAAUGUUGCUACAGUGAGCACACGCACAGCACAUGGUGGCAGCCAUGCGUCUUUUGGCUUUUUCAUUUCCAGUUCUUUCCCAACCUACUUGAGAGCUGAGAGAGAAAAAAAAAAAAAGGACUACUUGUCCAAACAAUAUCUGUUCUGAGCCUUAUUUUCAAGGAUAUAAGAAGUGCUUUGAUGGGAAAAUAGGGGAAAGUCAGAGCUUAAUAAUUUAACACCUGUUAGUGUAAUAAUGUAAUAUUAAGUUGGCCAAAAAGUUCAUUUGGAUUGUCUGUACUAUCUUAUGGAAAGACCCCAAUGAACUUUUUGGCCAGCUUCAUAUUUCUGCAUGACUCUCCACAUAAAUUUCCAGUGCCCAGUCGCUUCUUGGUUUGGAAGCCCUGAAGGUGUGACAGGUGCCCUGCUCUGCAGUUUCUUCUGUGUUCACAAGUCCUGCAAGAUAUCCAAGUUUAAAAUCAGGGAUCUACUACAGUUCCCCCCAAAUCACUAGCCCUGCUCAUCCUUCUUGAGCCCCAUCUGCAACCCAGAUACAGAGCUCAGCUGAGAGAUCAGAAGUAAGAAGAACAUGUAGGAAGAAUUUCCAUCAGGGACAUCUUUACACUUUUAAUAAAACAAAGAGAUGCUUGAUUGG